AGCAGUGGGGAAUAUUNCACAAUGGGCGGAAGCUGAUGCAGCAACGCCGCGUGCGGGAUGACGGCCUUCGGGUUGUAAACCGCUUUCGCCUGUGACGAAGCGUGAGUGACGGUAAUGGGUAAAGAAGCACCGGCUAACUACGUGCCAGCAGCCGCGG
rnacentral:rRNA from 1 species